rnacentral:rRNA from 1 species
GAUCAUGGCUCAGGAUGAACGCUGGCGGCGUGCUUAACACAUGCAAGUCGAACGAAGCACUUAAGAUUGACUCUUCGGAUGAUUUCUUUUGUGACUUAGUGGCGGACGGGUGAGUAACGCGUGAGUAACCUGCCUCACACAGGGGGAUAACAGUUAGAAAUGACUGCUAAUACCGCAUAACCCGAUAGGAUCGCAUGAUCCAGACGGAAAAGAUUUAUCGGU